rnacentral:rRNA from 1 species
GAUGAACGUUGGCGGCGUGCCUAAUACAUGCAAGUCGAGCGAAUGGAUUAAGAGCUUGCUCUUAUGAAGUUAGCGGCGGACGGGUGAGUAACACGUGGGUAACCUGCCCAUAAGACUGGGAUAACUCCGGGAAACCGGGGCUAAUACCGGAUAACAUUUUGAACCGCAUGGUUCGAAAUUGAAAGGCGGCUUCGGCUGUCACUUAUGGAUGGACCCGCGUCGCAUUAGCUAGUUGGUGAGGUAACGGCCCACCAAGGCAACGAUGCGUAGCCGACCGGAGAGGGUGAUCGGCCACACUGGGACUGAGACACGGCCCAGACUCCUACGGGAGGCAGCAGUAGGGAAUCUUCCGCAAUGGACGAAAGUCUGACGGAGCAACGCCGCGUGAGUGAUGAAGGCUUUCGGGUCGUAAAACUCUGUUGUUAGGGAAGAACAAGUGCUAGUUGAAUAAGCUGGCACCUUGACGGUACCUAACCAGAAAGCCACGGCUAACUACGUGCCAGCCGCCGCGGUAA